CCCUUAGAUGUUCUGGGCCGCACGCGCGCUACACUGACGGAGGCAGCGAGCGUGUCCUUCGCCGGCAGGUGCGGGCAAUCUUGCGAGUCUCCGUCGUGCUGGGGAUAGAUGGUUGCAAUUGUCGAUCUUGAACGAGGAAUUCCUAGUAAGCGCGAGUCACCAGCUCGCGCUGAUUACGUCCCUGCCCUUUGUACACACCGCCCGUCGCUACUACAGAGUGCCCGUGUCCAAGAAACGGUCGGACCUGUGCGGCCUCUCCGGGCGACCGGAGGGCCGUUACGGGGAAGACCCUUUAUUUGACGCGGGUCGAUGAAGUAAAAGUCGUAACA
rnacentral:rRNA from 1 species